rnacentral:lncRNA from 1 species
AUGGAUUACAGUAGCAGUAACCCAUUUUUGACCUUUAUGUGUUUUCAGUGUGGGGAAUGGAUGAAGAGUUUGAACAGCCUGGGUUUAAAUACUGGAUCUAGGAUUCCUUACAGAGUGUGUGACUGGCCAGAGGUCCUGACACCUUUAAGACUCAAAUGGAAACACAGCAUCUACUAUCUAUGGAAGAUUUCUUGUGAAGAUGAAAUAAUACUGGUUAUGACACAGGAACAUGUGAGGUCCUAAAAUUACAUUCGUUAGACAUGUGUCAUUUCUUUCAGGUAAGUCUUGUUAAAUUUAUAUUAGGCCAUGCUAUUUAUUGCAUAAUAUCAAAAUAACUUGAUUCUUAAUAGCACCAGUUUGUGAGUAUUGAUAUAAAAGCGUUUUCUUUUGUAAAGAUUACUUUUGUAACCUAAAAUGAUUCUUAAUUGUCGUCAUACAUUUUAACAUGCUAUUUUCAAUUUUUAUUUCUUUUUUAAAUUAAAAAAAUGUUAAGGUAAACACAUUUCAUGUAUUUCAUGGAUACAGAUUUAGGAACACAGUGGUACUUUCCAAGCAUGCUCCCACCCUUCUUCCUCCUUCUUUUUUUAUUUCCUCUCUUAAUUUUUAUAAUGAUAUAUUUUCGAUAAGUGAAUAGUUCAGCAAAAAUACGAAUUACACAAACGCUAUUCCUCAACAGUAGAGACAAGGGAUGUAGACAAUUAUUAAAUCUUAACAUGUCAGUUUCACUCCUACACAUUACAUUUUUGGUACACAAAUGUACACAGAUCUGGUAAAAUAUAUGAUAUUUGUCCUUUUGGGACUGGCUUAUUUCACUAAGUAUAAUGGUUUCCAGUUGCAUCCAUUUUGUUACAAAAGGCAGGAUAUCAUCCUUUUUAUGGCUGAGUAGUAUUUCCUAGUGUAUAUGUACAACAGUUUCUUUAUCCAGUCAUCAGUUGAUAGACAUCUGGGUUAAUUCCUAGUAAGCAAUCAUACUUGCAAACCAUGAUGAUUUGGGUCAAUUUAGCUUCUAAUUAUACAUUUUUCCCCUUUGAGGCAUUAGGUAGAGGUUCUAGGACAAAAAAAAUUCUGGUGAUGCUAGGGUUCCUUCUUCCUUCUUGAUUUAUUAGCAUGCUUCAAAAUAUGAACAACAUUUUCCAUGGAUUCUGAUUUUUUCAUUGACAUUUACCUAGUACUUCCC